AGAUUGGUGAAGAACAAUUUGUUGCGGGUUACCAAGGAAGCCAAGACCAAAAACUAUGUUCAAACUCCCAAGAAGAAGGUUGCAGAUUAGCAAGGAAGCCAAAAGCGUCCAGUCUGUCCCAUUACCAAUGAAUAAGAUCAUUUUGAAAAAGAAGCAGAGUUUGGAGCAUACAAAGUCUCAAAGCAAACAAACAACUCCUAACAAGAAGAAGAGUUCGGAGCAACCUGCAAUCCGAAAGAACCAAGUCGAUCACCAACUGAACGUGAAAAUACAGCAAGACGGACAUCACCUAGGUUUAAGAACAGGUCAGAGGAACGAGAUCAUACUGCUGCUCCAACACGAUCAUCACCUAGGAAAAGGAAAAGUUUAGUUGAACCAGAAAGCGCCUCACAAACUCAACCAUUCCAGUCCACACCAGAAGCAUCUCAAGAGAACUCAGGGACUUAUUCUUUCUUUGUUUAUGUGCUUGAAUGAUUCGAUUCAUAAAUCCUCCUAAUUCUGUUACACACUAAUACAGGAGAAAACUGCAAGAGCUGAAGAGGAGGGUGGUGUUGAUAUUGGAUACGAUCUUCUUGUCAAAGCUCUUGGUGAUGAUAAACCAGGUCGACUCAUAGGAAUAGGGUUUGGAGCGAUAA